rnacentral:lncRNA from 1 species
CAAUAAGCUCCAAGUUGUCGGUUGGCUGAGAUGUGAACCAAAUGACUGCUGCCUGUGUCCCGAAAGGGCUCGCAUCUCCCCCCCGCCCCCGCCCCAUCCUCUGAGAGCAGUUCCGCUCCCUCCAUCCCACCCUGACUCAGAGCCAGGCCACGCUGGCACAUCGGGGCUUCAGGUGUUCAGCUGACCGCGAAGGCUCUGCACCCCAGACGGCAGCUGCAGGUUUGAGGAGGGUCCUCACCGCAUGUCACUGGGAAUUUGUGAGCCCGUGGGGGUUCGGGCCUUACCCAGGAAGCCAGCUCGGGGAGUGAGGGGGAGCCAGGCCGGGUGGUGGCUCUUCCCAGCCUGCCUCUGCGUUCUCGGAGGGACCAGCCCGGGCUCCGCCGGGGAACAUCCAGGUCGACAAUCCCAGGAAAGGGUUAGGGAGGCUGUUGGUGGCCCCUGAGUUCCAAGCUCCUGUGGCCUUUGUCCUGGGGGGGCGGUUGGACCACAUUUCUGGGGGCCAAACAGCAUGCCAGCUGUAGGGGCAUUGCUGUCAGGGGAGGAGAGCCAAAUCUGAAUUAUCUGGGUAAGCGCCAUAGAGGGGACCAGGGAGAGGAGUGGCUGAUUUUCACUUAAAUACUGCAAUGAACUUGACCUCCUUUCGGAAAGUCCCCCCGAAGUCAGAGAAUGAUAACGGGGAAUUGGGGGUGGGAUGGAAGGAAGUGGGCGGGGGCCAGAAACACCCCGCCGUCUUCCAGGCAGGUGGGAGAUGCUGGGAAGGGCAGGCAGAGGCAGGAGCAGCCCCUUCUGGAGCCAGGGUGGGGGCUGAGGGAGGCUGGCACUAGGUGGCUGGGGUGGUGUGGGAUGGCCUGUCUCUACCUCACCAGCUCUCUCUGGGGGCCUCCAUGUCCUCUUCUGUAAAAUGGGGCACCUACCUGAUUAGUCUGAGGCUGACUUCAGCGGGUUCAGAACCUGACUGCAGUGGCAUGGGUUGCUGUGGAAGCAUGGAUUCGAUCCCCAGCCUGGUGCAGUGGGUUAAAGGAUCUGGCGUUGCUGCAGCUGUGGUGUAGGUCACAGCUGUGGCUCAGAUCCAACCCCUAACUCGAGAACGUCCAUAUGCUGCAGGUGCAGCCAUAAAAAAAUUAAUUACUGCUUGAAUUAAUUUAGGCCUUGGUUCUAAAAUUUAUAGAAUUACCUAAAGGCC